CGUCUCUGUGGGACUAAAAAGUGUCCCAACAAUCUGACCAAGGUAACAGGAAGUUAAGACAAAGACAGAGACCAGAGUCAGAAUCAGAGCUGUGCUGUGAGACAAAAAGAUAAGAAAAAUAAAAUGCUGGCCACAAAAGUCAGGAAAACUAGAAAACUUAGAUAGUACCUGGCAACAAAAGAAAGCUUUUGGCUAAAGAUCAACGUGUAUACUGUAAAGAAAAUGAGCACUGGGUGAGAGACUGCCCCAACAAAAAGAAGAGGAGCCCCCCUCAUGAUCAAACCCUUCACCUGUUCGUGGCUAAAAGUAAAGAGAUAACAAAAGGGGUGCUAACACAGAAGCUGAGUCCUUAAAAGAGUCCGGUGGCCUACCUGUUAAAGCAGCUAGAAAAAGAGACUGUGUUUCAUACUCCUCCACCGACCAGUGCAAAACAAGCUAAAAAGUUCCUGGGCACUGCGGGCUUUUGCAGAUUGUGGAUUCCAGUUUUGCUGAGUUAAAGAGAUAAACAGCCCUUCGUAUAAAGAAAAAAAAAAAAGGGAACAAUCUUAGACGGCCUUAGAUGCUCUUGAGACUGCCCUAAUGUUGUCCCCAACUUUGGGACUCCUAGAUGUGACUGAGAACAAAGAUAUUGCCAAAGAAGUUCUUACUCAGAGAUUGGGACCCUGAAAAAGACCUGUGGCAUACUUAUAAGAAAUUAGACCUGGUGGCUGUAAGAUGGCCUGCUUGUCUGCACAUAGUGGCUUCUGGUCAAGGACGCAGAUAAAUUGACUCUGAGACAAAACUUGGCACAUGUCCUAGAAAGUGUGGUUCAGCCCCCAUGACCGAUGGCUGACUAACGCUCUUAAAAGCAUUAUCCAACUGUUCCCCUGAC
rnacentral:lncRNA from 1 species